rnacentral:rRNA from 1 species
GACGAACGCUGGCGGCGUGCCUAAUACAUGCAAGUCGACCUUAGUGGCGAACGGUUGAGUAACACGUGGGUAACCUGCCCAUCAGUACUGGAUAACACUUGGAAACAGGUGCUAUUUCCGUAUACUGUUGGCUGGACCCGCGGUGCAUUAGCUAGUUGGUGAGGUAACGGCUCACCAAGGCGACGAUGCAUAGCGGGCCUGAGAGGGUGAUCGGCCACAUUGGAACUGAGACACGGCCCAAACUCCUACGUGAGGCAGCAGUAGGGAAUCUUCGGCAAUGGACGCAAGUCUGACCGAGCAACGCCGCGUGAGUGAAGAAGGUUUUCGGAUCGUAAAGCUCUGUUGUUAGAGAAGCGGUAUCUAACCAGGAAGCACCGGCUAACUACGUGCCAGCAGCCGCGGUAAUUC